AUUGAACGCUGGCGGCAGGCCUAACACAUGCAAGUCGAGCGGAUGAAGGGAGCUUGCUCCUGGAUUCAGCGGCGGACGGGUGAGUAAUGCCUAGGAAUCUGCCUGGUAGUUGGGGAUAACGUCCGGAAACGGGCGCUAAUACCGCAUACGUCCUGAGGGAGAAAGUGGGGGAUCUUCGGACCUCACGCUAUCAGAUGAGCCUAGGUCGGAUUAGCUAGUUGGUGGGGUAAAGGCCUACCAAGGCGACGAUCCGUAACUGGUCUGAGAGGAUGAUCAGUCACACUGGAACUGAGACACGGUCCAGACUCCUACGGGAGGCAGCAGUGGGGAAUAUUGGACAAUGGGCGAAAGCCUGAUCCAGCCAUGCCGCGUGUGUGAAGAAGGUCUUCGGAUUGUAAAGCACUUUAAGUUGGGAGGAAGGGCAGUAAGUUAAUACCUUGCUGUUUUGACGUUACCAACAGAAUAAGCACCGGCUAACUUCGU
rnacentral:rRNA from 1 species